CCGGUACGCGGGCCCGUGUACCGGUACGCAGUGCAGAUUUUGAGCUGUUUGAACUGCAGGGGGUUUUUCGCGUUUGUGGCACCUCUAUUUGUAUCACCCACGCCCCUAGGGCUCCCCUGAGCUUGGCACCUGCAGGGAGAAGAGGCUAUUCCACCAUUGGAGCUUGGGUUUGGAGCUUGUUGGAGGAGAGAUUCUUGGACCUUGAGGGUUUUGAACCUUGUUGGAGGCUUCUAAGAGGGCUUUUGAAGCUCAAUUGGUUGGAUUAGAACCUUCCUCUAGGUUAGAUUGGAAGGGUUCUAGCUCUCUUUUGGAGCAUAGGAAGAGAUUUCUUCUCUUGAGGUGAGUUUUGCCCAUUUUUGCUAGAUGCUUAAUGUUUGAGCUUUUCGCUCUCCGUUUCGUUUGGAUGACACUCUUUUUGAUGUUCCUAGGGUGCUAGAAAGCUUGUAGAAACCUCCGUUGGAGCAAACGAAAAGCUUCGUUGUCGUCG